GCAACAUCCCUAGAGCCUAGCAACCGCCGGUCACGCCCCCUAGCAACGUCACGCCUAAGCUUUGCUCCAGGUCCUUACCAAAAGAGACAGGCAAGGGGCUUGUGGACGAAGGCUAGCAUGUGAGUGGGGGCGUGCGGCUCAGCUCCCGCUUCUAGUCAGGCCGCAGGAUUUCGCGGUCCACCCAGAGCCCUCUCCCCGAGAACGAAGCGUUAAAGGACUGCGUUAACAUCCCCAUUUACAGAGGGGCAAACUGAACUCAGAAAGGAAGGCCCACCCCCAGUAGCCACAGCUUGUUCUUCCCUGUAUUCCCUGGAGGGAAGCAAACGCUCCGUCUCCCCGGGAGCAACCCCGGGCCUUGAGAGGAGGGAUGUAUUGCCGUCUUCCCGCCCCGACUGCGUAAGGAAAACCACCCAAGUUGCGAACUCCAAAUCAAGCCGCAGCCUGGUCCUGCCUGCUCUCCCAUCACCUAUCCUUCCGCUCAGUUCAGAAUAUUUGGGAAAUGCUUCCAGAUGCUCUCAUGGCAACAGCUGUGCUCUAGGGCACAGUGAUGGUUUGAGACCAGUGACUGGAGACUAUCUUUUGAACCUUCCCCCGAGUGCUGGACACAGCUGUCUUUGGAAGCCCUUCUUUGGGAAGAAGCACAGCCAGCAACAGGCUCGAGUGAGCAGUUUCCAGACCUGA
rnacentral:lncRNA from 1 species